rnacentral:rRNA from 1 species
UGGGUCUAAUACCGGAUAUGACCUGCUGUUGCAUGACGGUGGGUGGAAAGUUUUUCGGCUGAGGAUGGGCCCGCGGCCUAUCAGCUUGUUGGUGGGGUGAUGGCCUACCAAGGCGACGACGGGUAGCCGGCCUGAGAGGGCGACCGGCCACACUGGGACUGAGAUACGGUCCAGAUACAUACGGGAGGCAGCAGUGGGGAAUAUUGCGCAAUGGGCGAAAGCCUGACGCAGCGACGCCGCGUGGGGGAUGACGGCCUUCGGGUUGUAAACCUCUUUCGACCGGGACGAAGGGUGACUGACGGUACCGGUAGAAGAAGCACCGGCCAACUACGUGCCAGCAGCCGCGGUAAUACGUAGGGUGCGAGCGUUGUCCGGAAUUAUUGGGCGUAAAGAGCUCGUAGGCGGUGUGUCGCGUCGGUCGUGAAAACUUGGGGCUCAACCCUGAGCGUGCGGUCGAUACGGGCAUCACUUGAGUUCGGCAGGGGAGACUGGAAUUCCUGGUGUAGCGGUGAAAUGCGCAGAUAUCAGGAGGAACACCGGUGGC